UAAGGAAUCUUCCACAAUGGGCGAAAGUCUGAUGGAGCAACGCCGCGUGCAGGAUGAAUGCCUUCGGGUUGUAAACUGCUUUUAUAUGUGACGAUUAUGACGGUCGCAUAUGAAUAAGGAUCGACUAACUCCGUG
rnacentral:rRNA from 1 species